rnacentral:piRNA from 1 species
AGGAACUGGAGCUGGUAGGUUGUGAG